AAAACGACCAUCUUCGGGCUAUUGUAUCUAUGUACCAAUAAAAAAAAAGCAAGGAUUCAAAUCGACGGAAACCGAUUCGUUAAUGUACCCGCGGCUACUACACUUCCAAGCAAAUAACCUUGAUUAGGCGGGACCACUAGGUACAUUCACGACUCGGACGCCACCGUUCUAUACUGAGGGCAAACAAAAUGAAUAUUAAAUUAUGGGUCUAUAGCAAUAAAGGUUGAUUUGAAAGUAUCCGCGAAACUCUGUCUUCCGAAAAGCAAUUAGCCGGUUACUUACUGACCAACGGCUAAGACUCCCGAAGCGUAUAUUUACUGAUACUUAAGCCUUCCGUAAAGACAAACCAAUUCACGCCUUGCCUACAGCAUGCAACGCGGUAAGGACUCUUAAGCUUACUUAACCGGGACUACACUUUCGGCAAAACAUAAAAACGGAGUGACCAAGCGGAAAUUAGGACUAUUACAACAAGUUUCGGGCCCCACGUUGGGCGCCAUUUUGUUACGUGCACGGUUCAUACUCUGAGCUGAUAUUUGCCCGGUGUCGGCUUUGCCGGUAUGCUGGCUUUCAGCGCGGCUAUCGCUCGCCGGAUGGGGGGUAGGUUCUUGCCAACAACACGGGUCAUACGCUGUCACGAAACAAAAACAUAAAUCAUACCGGACUUUAAGACAGAAGGAUUCAAACAAAAAAAAAAGCGAGCCCGAAACAUGUAAGGAAAAGGAAACACAAACCGGAAACAGAAUCACGAACUUACUGGGGAUGUCAAACGCAAACACUCACCGCGAAGCUUGCUUGGCAGCUGUUUCGCCAAGCAUUAGCCCUCCCCCAAGGAACCCCUGGGUUCCCAUACCUUGAUGCCCCUCAUACGUAUCCUGGGCAUCCCAACUUCGCUGAUUUACCUUCACUUACCUUUCACUCAUUCCUUCCCACACCACCUUUCAAAAACAGCCUUAGGCUGAACACAUACUGUUGCCUUGUAAAAACAUUAUAAAACUGCCUUUAUUGGCAUCAACAGAAAAUACAUAUCAUAACAAUAAUCAAAGUUUCGACCAUGGGGUCCCCAUUUCGCCUUUGAUCUGGCAUCGUCUAGUCAUCUUCCUCCGCUGAAGUAAGGAUUUCCACCCGCUUCGGCCGGGCUGCCGCUAAUAUCCGUCCGCGUAUUAGUAUCCGUCCGUUGUUUGUUCUGUCCGUCCGUGUUGUCAAUAUAAACAUAUCAUACCUUUUUCUAUUUUCUUUUUUAAUUACUCCUUUCUUUUCUGGUUGGACAAGAUGAUAUUUGCCCGGUGGGCAAAAACUCCCUAUUCAACGUUUUGAGGACCUACCCGGAUUAGAGCUCUGAUCCUAGCGCCUACGGCUCCUUCUAAAACGGAACCCACUGCAACUGAGUUGGGACAAAUAGCCCUUCUUGUCUCCCCCAGGUCGUCCGUCUUAGUCCGAAGUCCGGCAUUUACCCCUGCAACCCGGAGGAGGUUACAAGCAUCUGGAGCUCCCACGUUGAUUGGAGAGGCGAUGGUGGCUAGAUGCGGUUGAUGAUGGUGUAUCCGUUGUUUUUUUUUUUUUUUUUUAACUUUAUUUUUAAGAUGUAGCGUUAUGUAGCUUGUAAGAUUUUAGUCUUAUUUAGAUUGUAAUUUUUCUUUUAGGUAUGCUCAAUUCUUAGAUAUCUUCGUAACUUUAAGAUGUAUUCAAUUCACUGUUUGUUUGUUUUUUUCUUUUUUAUCUAGCUUGUAGAUUUUAAGUAUUUUUUUUGCUUGUGGUUUUGUUAACUUAGUUCUUAGGUAAGUUUAGUAUGUAGCCUUUAGGUAAGUUAAGCUUGUAGUUUUAGAUUAUUUUUAUAAUUUCUUAUAUAUUUUUUUUUUUUAGGAUGUAAUUUUUUCUUUAUUUUCAGAUUAUUUAAUAUGUAGUUCGUAAGUUCGAUUUUCCUUCAUGAAUUUAAAAAGAAUAAAAAAAAUCCAUUUUCAGGCAUCUUCUA